rnacentral:rRNA from 1 species
GACGAACGCUGGCGGCGUGCUUAACACAUGCAAGUCGAACGGAAAGGCCCUGCUUUUGUGGGGUGCUCGAGUGGCGAACGGGUGAGUAACACGUGAGUAACCUGCCCUUGACUUUGGGAUAACUUCAGGAAACUGGGGCUAAUACCGGAUAGGAGCUCCUGCUGCAUGGUGGGGGUUGGAAAGUUUCGGCGGUUGGGGAUGGACUCGCGGCUUAUCAGCUUGUUGGUGGGGUAGUGGCUUACCAAGGCUUUGACGGGUAGCCGGCCUGAGAGGGUGACCGGCCACAUUGGGACUGCGAUACGGCCCAGACUCCUACGGGAGGCAGCAGUGGGGAAUAUUGCACAAUGGGCGGAAGCCUGAUGCAGAAACGCCGCGUGCGGGAUGACGGCCUUCGGGUUGUAAACCGCUUUCGCCUGUGACGAAGCGUGAGUGACGGUAAUGGGUAAAGAAGCACCGGCUAACUACGUG